rnacentral:lncRNA from 10 species
UCCAAGUGAUAGAGGUGCCCAGUCCAAGUGAAGGGCAAGAGUCUACAUACCACUUUCCUCUAUUCAAGCUAUUUAUGCCUACUAGGUUUAGAAUACUGAUUAUGAAAGUGGACCCCCGAAGAGGGUCAUGGCUGAGAUUCAAGGAAGUCUCUAGCCUGCUAACAUCGAAUGCAAAUUGGUGUGUGAGGAUACACAUUAACAAAAAUUUUCUGGGAAGAGCAUAUAAAAUUUCCAUUAGAUUCUCAAGGAGGUAGGAAUAAAGGAUUUUAGUAACUAUUACUCUAAAAUGAAAGAAUUCCUUUAAAUUGAAUGGCAGAUCUUAGUCAUGACCUGAAAAGCUGAUAAAAAAAAACUUUUCAAAAGUUAAAACCUAGGGCUUUUUGGGGUAGAUUUUUUGAUUUAUAGAGGACUGGUAAGAUGAGGUAUUUAAAGAUGAGGGUUACAAAUUUUCCAUGUUGGCAUAUGGAAAGUAAAGAAUGGCAAAAUUUGUAGCACAUUCUAAUUAGUUCAAAUAUCUAUGUUACCAAAAUUGAAAUGAUAUCAAAUUGCACAGCAAUGUCCUGAUGGCCUUUCCUCUAACUUUCUGGGUUUGUAAGGGUAGGGUUGUGCCUAUCCUGCUCACCUUUGUCUCUCCAGUGUCUAGCAUAGCGUCCAGCACAGGCAGACUAUGAUGCCUGUUUUUUUUUUGUUGUUGUUUUUUUUUUUUUUUUUUUGGUAAAGACCAGUGAAUUACACUUUUUACACAUGACUAGGUUAAAACAAAAGUAGACAUUUGUGCAAACACCACUGUUCUCCCUUGAAGUGGUUGUAGGUCUCAGACAGUGCUAAUUUUUCUCUUUCUUAAUGUGUGUGGUUAGGAAGCUGGGUCCUGUGGCCAGAGUGAGCUGACCCACUAUGUGAGGAAACUUACUUAUCACAGCCUAAUAAGGAGUAGUCCUUGCAGCAGAAGUAAUUACUAAAUGUGCUUUGGUCAUUUGACAGAAAUCAGGGAGGCAGCAAGGAGUCAUGGAAAUGAGCCCAAACUGAGAGUCAAAACCCUGUGGUCUGCCGACACCCCCAUCCCACAUCCGUACCUAAAAGCAGGCUGUGCACUAGGGACCUAGUGACCUUACUAGAAAAAACUCAAAUUCUCUGAGCCACAAGUCCUCAUGGGCAAAAUGUAGAUACCACCACCUAACCCUGCCAAUUUCCUAUCAUUGUGACUAUCAAAUUAAACCACAGGCAGGAAGUUGCCUUGAAAACUUUUUAUAGUGUAUAUUACUGUUCACAUAGAUAAGCAAUUAACUUUACAUAUACCCGUUUUUAAAAGAUCAGUCCUGUGAUUAAAAGUCUGGCUGCCCUAAUUCACUUCGAUUAUACAUUAGGUUAAAGCCAUAUAAAAGAGGCACUACGUCUUCGGAGAGAUGAAUGGAUAUUACAAGCAGUAAUUUUGGCUUUGGAAUAUACACAUAAUGUCCACUUGACCUCAUCUAUUUGACACAAAAUGUAAACUAAAUUAUGAGCAUCAUUAGAUACCUUGGCCUUUUCAAAUCACACAGGGUCCUAGAUCUGCUGUGUGAUGCUGGAAAAGUAACUUCACUUCUGUGGGCCUCAGCUCCUUAAUUUUUAACAUACUUUGGAUUCUUAUAUCUUUGUCAGCUGUCAACUUCAGUGUUUUCAGGUUAAAUUCUAUCCAUAGUCAUCCCAAUAUACCUGCUUUAGAUGAUACAAACUUCAAAAGAUCCGGCUCUCCCUCGUAAAACGUGGAGGACAGACAUCAAGGGGGUUUUGUGAGUAAAGAAAGGCAACCGCUCGGCAAAAACGCACCCUGGCACAACAGGAGCGAAUAAAUACAGACGCUGAUUGAGCGUUUGCUCCAUCUUCACUUCUGUUAAAUGAAGACAUUGAUAUCUAAAAUGCUAUGAGUCUAACUUUGUAAAAUUAAAAUAGAUUUGUAGUUAUUUUUCAAAAUGAAAUCGAAAAGAUACAAGUUUUGAAGGCAGUCUCUUUUUCCACCCUGCCCCUCUAGUGUGUUUUACACACUUCUCUGGCCACUCCAACAGGGAAGCUGGUCCAGGGCCAUUAUACAGGUACGUCCCCAACCAUCCAAGGAAACUUUGCAAAGAAGCUCAAGUAUUAGGUUUCGAACACCCCUCCUUCCCCCUGCCUCUGCCCGCGGGAAUCCAUCCAGCACUUUGGGAGGCUGAGGUGACUGGAUCAUGAGGUCAGGAGAUUGAGACCAUCCUGGCUAGAAUGGUGAAACCCUGAAUCUACUAAAAAUACAAAAAAGAAAAAAAAAUUAGCCGGGCAUGAUGGCGGGCACCUGUAGUCCCAGCUACUCUGGAGGCUGAGGCAGGAGAAUGGCAUGAAUGCGGGAGGCGGAGUUUGCGGUGAGCCAAGAUCGCGCCACUGCAUUCCAGCCUGGAAUGCGAGCGAGACUGUCU